GCCGUUUGAUUUCAUCGCCGGAGAGGAUCUUUCUCCGUCUACGUAUGCCCUUUCGUA
rnacentral:sRNA from 1 species